GCCUGUAUUUCAGUGGUUGUCGUUUGUUUAUGUGUUACAUAUUUGUUUUUCGUUCAUUUUUUUUUUAUAUAAUUAAGGCCGUUAGUUUUCUCGUUUGAAUUGUUUACAUUGUCAUAUCGGGGCCUUUUAUAGCUGACUAUGCGGUAUGAACUUGGCUCAUUGUUGAAGGCCAUACGGUGAUCUAUAAAUGUUAAUUUCUGUGUCAUUUUGGUCUCUUGUGGACAGUUGUCUCAUUGGGAAUCGUACCACAUCUUCUUUUUUAUUAUAGAUCCAACGCUGCAAUUUUCACAAAACAUAUCAAAUUUUCCACCUUGUCGCACAUACAUGUACAUAUGGAUAACAUCAUAACAGCUUAUUUACUACUGCAUGUAGAGCAAAACUUUGGUUAGCUUGCUUGCUUUGUUUGUAU
rnacentral:lncRNA from 1 species